AACAAGUACUUUCCUUUGCUUUCAACGCAUGGUAUAAAUAAUAAUGGAACAGAAAUGUGACAGGUGUUUCUCUUGUUCCCAGUAGCAAAGUUAAAGAAAAAGGCUCAGGAAUGGGGCGUAAAUGCUCGUGUAAAGAAGACAUUAGGUUUAAGAGCCGUUUGUCAUUAGUUUUAUAGCCUAACUACAGUAACCAGCUUUCCGAAUGGUUGUAGAGGGUGAAUGGAAAACACAAGCCUGGGAACGGAGCAACAUGAACCAGAGUAAGAAUGAACAAGCCGGUCAGUAAUGCAAAGCUAGUUCUAAUAUUAUAGAAGUUUCAAGUAUCAAAUUAAAGAAGUCUAAUACCAAAUUAUUUUCCAGAAAACUAUCCUCUAAAUGUGGAUAAGCUAUUUCAUUAAAAAAAGAAAAACUAUCUACCUAUGGAACAUUGAUUUGCCUAAAAGGCAAUCAUAAUAAUAAAAAAGAACAAUAAAGAGCAAAUCCCAAUAAAUUAGACUGGAAAGGGGUUUAG